rnacentral:lncRNA from 1 species
GCUGCCAGUAAAUAAAUCUCAAAGGGGGGAAAGCUGAAGUUUCAUUACCUGAUCCGUGGGGCUUUGUUGGUUUUGGCAUCACACAGGGGAAGCUCUUGCUCCUCCAUUCUCUGGAUUUGAAGAUGUCCAUUGGAGCCUGCAGUGCCUGGACAGGGUUCAGAGCGGAACCUUUUGAAGAGUGUCAAUAGUUGUAACAGUUCAGCUGUUAGGAAGACAAAUACAUGGAGGGGCUCAUUAAUCCGCUUUUGGCUCUCGGUGCCUUUUGCCCUUUUAUCACAGCCUUAUUAGGCUCCUGCUCAUCUUGAACCAGAAAAAACCGAAUUGAAGUUGUUGAGUACUAAUUGGCAAAGACUUUUAAUCAUGGGCCAAGAACUUUCACUGACUUGAAAGUAACUUCUCCGCAGGGAAGAGCCAGAAACCUGGUUCACCUUAAAACAAAAACCUGUUGGAGCUCAGGGCGGUGUGAGGCUGGGAGGAAGCACUGGGAAAUUGUCUACGGUUCCAAAGAAAUGAUAGGAGGUUAUAUCCGCCUUUCCCUUUCCUGGGAGAGAAGGGCAGUAACAUCCAAGCAUUUCUUCAGAGAGCCUUUAUUGGUUCAGAAAAACCAAUUCUUGAGUGUGUUUGUUUCCGAACAUCCUGUAUGUGUGAUUAUUCAUCUGAGACUCUAUGUAUACACACGGUAUUUAUUUAAAAGGAACAGUGUCUGUCUAGGCUCACAAGGAGCAGCCGAGGCCUCUUUGAGAACACCUUUUAAAUGUGUAUCAGCAUGUAGUAGGCAUGUCCGCUGCCGAGUGUGCUUUGCACAUGAGUCGUAUUAGCACAUGGCAUAUAGUUUAUCUGACAUUUGUAUAGCAGUGACAUUAGACCUCUUUGACAAAGCAAUAAUGUAUAUAGCAUGAGACAGAUAAAAUCACAACUAUUUAAACUCCUUAAAACCAUCGGUAAAUGAAAAAAUUUCCAAUGGAAGUAUUAUUUAAGGAUGGUUAGCCUUGGCUAACCUUCAUGCCCAGUCAGCAACUUGGAAAAGUCUUUUCCUUUCUCCUGUGUGAAGCAAAAGUUGCUUUUCCUAACUUGCUAUUGCUUUUCCUUGGCUGGAGCAUAACAGCAUAAAAUCAGAUAAAGGGCUCCCUUCAGUCCAGCCCCCGAGGCUGAGGAGGGCGUGAGGAGAUGGCUUCUUAUACAGGAUUUGGCCAGCAUCCUCCUCCGUGUCCCUGGUGUGCCAUGGGUUGGCAGAUCUACAGGAACCCCACAAAGCCAACUUCUGCCUGGAGGUUAGCCCGAGGAGGAAGUAGGAGCCGGCAGAGCUGUCUGUCUCUCCACACACUCCAGUGCCCUGCUGCCUGGACCCUAAGGCCAGCCCACUCCAGAGGGCACAGGACAAGGGCAUUGUGGCUGCCAUCAUCACUAGCAAAGCACUGAGCACGUCCCACUUCUUACCCUUCUCUGGUUCCUGCUGUGGGAGCAUGCGCAGUUCCUAGAGCUUAGUCCCUCUUGUUUUUAAAAAGAAUGUUUUAAAAGUUACAUGUUUUGUUCUGUUACUCAGAUUGUAGCCAGAAUAAAAGAAAAUUAAUUAUAAUGUAUUCAAAAAUGUGAAAGCUUACAAUAGAGUUUGUAAAUGUCACUUUGCUCAUAUUCUCAGUGUUUUCUGAUGAUGAAGCUCUGAUGUUUAGCCAUUAAGAGGUUUAAUUAAAGCCAGGUUUGUUUGUUUUUUUUUUGGGGGGGGGGUCAAGUUAUUAUACUCUGCUGAUAACUUGGUGUCAUCAGAUUAGGAUAUGAAGAGUAGGUUGUUAUAUUUACAUACUAAAAGUUAAACAUUGCGACUCCUUAAUCACACUUCCCAUUAAUAUCCAUCAGCAGUUAAAAUGAGUGCUUUUAAUAUUUGGGAAGAAAAAAAAAACACUUCAAUUUCAAAGGUU